rnacentral:rRNA from 1 species
AUUGAACGCUGGCGGCAUGCCUUACACAUGCAAGUCGAACGGCAGCACGGGGGCAACCCUGGUGGCGAGUGGCGAACGGGUGAGUAACACAUCGGAACGUGUCCUGUUGUGGGGGAUAACCCACCGAAAGGUGAGCUAAUACCGCAUGAUCUGGAGACAGCAAAGCAGGGGACCCGCAAGGGCCUUGCGCGAUUGGAGCGGCCGAUGUCCGAUUAGCUAGUUGGCGGGGUAAAGGCCCACCAAGGCGACGAUCGGUAGCUGGUCUGAGAGGAUGAUCAGCCACACUGGGACUGAGACACGGCCCAGACUCCUACGGGAGGCAGCAGUGGGGAAUUUUGGACAAUGGGGGCAACCCUGAUCCAGCCACGCCGCGUGAGUGAAGAAGGCCUUCGGGUUGUAAAGCUCUUUCGGUGGGAACGAAACGGUUACGACGAAUACUCGUGACUACUGACGGUACUCACAGAAGAAGCACCGGCUAACUACGUGCCAGCAGCCGCCGUAACAC